AAACAUUCAGCCAUAAGGCUUUUAAUAACAUCCUUCUCUAAUAAAUUGCUACUGCAUCCUUAUCUAUGUAAAAAUAUUAAGUUUUCCCGGGAAAAAGUUCCCAUAUAUCACAUUCAAUCCAAAAGCUGCUUUCCUUUUAUGUGAAGUUUUCUUUGCUAUCUACAGGUCCCCAAAGUGUCGUAAUCUUCCUCAUUAGUACCUGAAAAGCAUGCUAAUCACAUAGGUCAUCUCACUUAACUAAAAAUAGACAAAGUGCAAGAAUUAUGUAUUUUAUCCGCAAAACUUAGCUAAAACAUGGGUAAGUUAUGGUGCUUAGACAUAUAAAUAUGCCCAACAUCACCACCUCACACUUAAAGCUGUGUUCGUCCUCAAACAACAUAUCUAUUUAUUCAUACUACACAAGCGUUAGCACCCACAAUGGAAGACAAGAUGCUCAAAUAGGCUCACACACAAUUAUGAACAAGAAGUAGCUUCAGGAAUCAAUCCUAGAUACAACCUACCCUCAAGAAUAGACUCAUUAACUUGGCAAUUUCAUACAUAUCGUUCAAGAAAAAAAAUCAUAUAAAUUACCCAACCUUCAUCAACCAUGUGCCUUCAUAACAAGAGAGUUACCCAUAAUCACUCACAAUCAUGCAAUUUCUAACAAAAUGGGUACAAGAAUCAAGUUGUGCUCACUCUCACAAAGAAUUCUCAAAUUACAACUAAUGACCAUAUGCUUUCCCUUAGUGUAAUACUCCACUAAUAUCAGAAUGCUAAGAUUAAAAUCAAAUAGGUCUUUUACGGGUUGUAAUGCCGGCUAAAAGAUGGGUUGGAACUAUUUUGGCCAGAAAUAGUGACUAUCUUCCCUAAGCGCUUCAAUACACUACAUUAUGCAAUUAAGAUUAAUCUCAAACAACCAAUUUCCACUUCUUCUAUCUUCACAGAUUUGAUUUUCACCUCAACUCGUUAAGCUUGAUUAAUAACACUAUGGCGGGAGUAUGCAACCCUUUCAAAUAUUUUUUUUGCACCCUUUUCACGUUACGCACCCCUAUAAUAACCACCCUUAACUUAAGAAAUUUGCCUUAGUUGAGGUGCACAAUGUCCAAGAAGGACCAGGGCCAAAACAGGUUCAUUGUAACAUGUCCGGGAUAAAAUUUUGAACUUUUUUCAACAAUUUUAGCUACUCCCAACCACAUCAAUUGCUCACGCCAAUAACUAGACUUUCGGGCAUCAAUUUCACCUUUUUUCUCUUAUUCUCAAACUCCUAACUCACAUUGAUUUUACAUUAAAGCAUUUAGGAACUUUUUGGAUCAAAUAACGGUCUAUUAAAGAAUAGAUUAGGCUACAUAUGAGGCUAACAAAAGAAAAAGCUAAAGGCUCGACGGGGCUAUCUAAGAUAAUGUACAAAGGUAGGUCAAAAGAAGGUAUGAACAAUGGCUAUCAAAGAAAUGCCUAAAUCAUCUCCUAAACUUGCAAUGUUUAUUUCUCUUUGCAUCCACACCAGGAAUGUUCUAGCAUCAGUUGCAAUAAGGAAUAUACAACAGUCUUACACACUCAUGGCACAUGGUCAACUAAAUUAGGAGCAUUAUAGAUUCUCGACCAAACAAUUACAUGAAUUCAAUUAAAACCAACAAUCACAACAAGAAUCACAACUAGAGCCUAGGUGUUUCAAACAUAAUGAUCCAUCAUAUACUUAGGUUAUAAUGUCAUAUGAUCCACAAGAGCAGUUACAUAUAAUUAAAAGACUACUUUUCUCUUAAGACUGUCGUCAUCUAUCCAUCAUCUAGAAAAAUACCUAAUUAUGACUAAAUAACUAACAAAAUGAACAAAAUAACUAAUCCUAUCCCGAAGUAUACUAAGGAGAAGGUCCUAUUUUCUUACGAAACAAGUAGCAAAGUAACCAUCCACCCCACACUUAAGCUCAGCACUGUCCCCAGUGUAAAUUACAAGAUAAAGAACCUGGAUAGUAGUACUUCUCAUCUAUAUUAGGAGUCAUGCCACCUGCGUGGAGAUCAUCAUUGCAGCAAAUAGCAAAGUUAUUUGGUACUAUUUUUCUUACAAAACAAGUAGCAAAGUAACCAGCCAGUGGGCAUAGGCAAUAACAUAGGCGGCGCCUAAGCUAUAGCCUAUGUUGACAUAGGCGACGCCUAACCUAUCGCCUAAGUGAGGCAUGAGCAUAGGCAAUUGAAAGUCACAAAAUAAAGUCGCACCGCGAAAUUUUUUGGGUCGAAUUAACAUAAUUCGAUGUGUGACUCUAAUGCGAAUCAUACUUAAGCCUUAGACAUUUGACCAAUCCAACUUACCUGUAAUAUUCCCAUCACUCCUAAACUUACCACCAUUGACAUGGCUCACUUCCAAAUCAAAAUUGGUACUAAUCUCCUCCUUAGUACUUCAUGCACCUACAAGUAAUCAAAAACAACAAAA
rnacentral:lncRNA from 1 species